GCGCGCGGCAGCAGGGUUGGGCUCUCGCCGUGAGUCGACGAAGGGAGCGCGGGCGCGCGCCCGCGUCCGCGCACUGAGAGUCGCCUCGGCCGCUCGCUUUCUCGACUCCCGCCUCGCGCCUCGAUCCUGUUCCGCCUCCCUCGGCCCUCCUGCCCGCCCCCACUCGUCGGCCCUCAGGUUCCUGGAAAGUGAAAAUUUCAUUUCUUUGUGGACAGGUACCUAAAAUGUCUCAUUAUUCAUCAAUUAAUGAAAAACAAAUGAAAAUUUGAGAGAGAUAUUCUGAAGAAUAAAAGGAUCAAGUUGGGUCAUUUCUAAAAUGUAAGAUUAUAAGGUUUAACUUGCUAAGACUUUUGAGGGGUUGAAUUAUUGGUAAAUUAUUAUAGAACCACUUAUCUGAGGCUUUUAAAAGUGAUGUGUUACAGAGAUUUAGGGAACUGCAAGAUUGCAGAUAAAGAAUUUAUACUGUCAACUGUUCUAUACUUUACCUUCUGCUUUAAAUGCGGCCUUAUAUUUUGAAGUCAAACAUUUAUUUUCUCUCACUGCGUUCUGAAUUUCCUACCACAGUGCAUUUUGAGAAAUGAAUAUAACAGCAGUCUUCAUAGAUGCCAUAUUCAUGGCAACUCUGUCCCCCGCCAACACCACACCCUGGAAAAAAACCAACUUUCUAUUGUUGGAAUGAGGUAACAUUUUCAGGAAAAGGGAACCAUUUUCUCACAGGAUAUAGAACAAAUUCAACCUUUUAUUAAAUCAAAAUGGAUUCUCUAAUGUUUAUACAUAUCAUAUAGGAUUUCAUCUCUUUCAAUCUUGGUUCAAAGGCCCAGACAGUACCAUUCCCUAGUAUUUAGUCCAUUUGCUCAUAAAGCAGAAGAGAAAAGCUACUUUGUUCCGAAGGGUGUUAGAUUUAGGAUUCCAAGGUUAUUUCAAAUUAAUGCCUGGAACUAGACUAUAAAAUGCAGGAAAGAUUCUAAGUUGUUCAAAGAUGAAAUAUCUUAACUUUCACCAAAAACUCUGUCUUCUGGGUAUUUUUUGUUUUUCUGCCUUUCCAGAUUUAUUUUAAAUACAACAUUUUUGCUGUUUACAUUUUUAAAAGUUACAUUUCAAAAUUGUUCAUAAUUGGACACUUUCAUAAAAUGUAGGCAAAUGCAGUUUUACUUUUUAAUGAAGGACAAGUCUGUUGAUAACAUUUUGAUUCUUAAAAUUUUUUUUAUCUUAUAAAAAUGAAACAAUGCAUUUAAAGUGUCUUCAGCUCUUAUGUUAAUACCAAAUUAUACAUUUUCUUAGCCCAUGUUCAGGAGAGACAAUAUAUCUUCCAAAUUAAGAGAAGCUGGCACCAUUUUUAAAACAAGGCCUUGAAUCUGCUGUGGUAUGUGCUGGUAGGAAUUUUGUAUGAAGCUGUUAUUGAAGUAGAUGACAUUAAGGUCAAAGGAAAAAAAAAACAGAAAAUAAUGUAAUCCUACAGAGCUGCUCUUAAGAUCUUGAGAGAAAAACCACGUAGGUAACAUCAAACACUAGUUGGAAUCUUUCCAAGAAGUAAUUAUCUGUGUGCUGUUUGUGGUGGUUGAUUAUGGGAACAAACCAAGGUUUAGCCAAUUCAGCAAACAUUUAUGGAGUGCCUGCAAUGUGCAUGUCACUGUUUUAAGGCCUGUGCCUACUGUAAAGGUGACCCACACAUGAUGCCUGCCUUGCAGGACUUGGAGUUCAGCGAUAAUAAGAGAUGCAUACCUGAAAAGCCUAUUUAAGACUCUUCCGGUUCUACAAAGAAGGCUUCUUGAAAGUGGUAGCUUUGAUUACUCUUUGGAUUUAUUUACAUUUAUCCUAUAAUCAGAAGGUAUACAAAACAGACUCACACAUAUAUAAAAUUAAUAGAUUAGAUAGCAUUUAAACAAAUAUUUCAGGUAGGUACUUCAAAUGCAUUUGACAUUUAUCAAAGAAAUGGUAAGUGCUGUCAUCCGUGGGUGGCUGGAUUAACAUGUGGGACUACUUAUCACCAAUUUUGUUAGGGAUCUUAGGGAAAUUCCUGGAUCUUAUAUUCACAAGCAAUUGUAUAAAUACUUCCCACAGCUCAGAGACCUAAUAGGAUGGGGUCUUAGAGAAACAUCUUUUGAGCCACAGACUUCUUUGUUACCAGAAGGAAAAUGAAAGAAGAAAUUUAAAUACCACUUGAAGAGAGGUAAAUAAAUGAGAAAUGGGGCUGAGAGGGCGGGUAUUUUUUUAAAAAUUCAUUAAAUGGAAAAAUCCACAAAUGUUAAUUCUGGUAGAUUUCUUAGAAAUUACAUCAGAGGAGCAUGCUUGGUCUUCCCACCCUCAUUAGGCCUCAGUGACAGGUACUUGAACAACUGAGCCCCUAAUGUGCAUGCUCCCCCACCCCUGAAGCCAGUCUCUGCCCUCCUCUUCCCUCCUCUUGCCCCUGGAAGCUGAUCGCCACCAACUGGCCUCUGGGUGGAUUUGGCCAAUGGAAGCACCUGUAGAGGGAAGAGAGUGAGGUUAGGAUAUUUCUUCCUGCUGUCUCCGUGCUUCCCUGCAGAGAGUGUGAAGAAAUGACCCUGAAAAGCCUCUGGCAGAGGAUUCUUCUUUCAGGAUGGUGUCGCCUCCUCAGCAGCCCAUCCUCCUCCCCUGGACUCAAGCUCUCAUUCCAGUAACACUCCUUCCUCCUUCUCCAUCUUCAGGGGGAGGUUUGCCAGUCGGUGGGUUCUAAGCAUAUCUCGCUGAUUCCCCCCAACCCUGCCGACACCUCUGUAGGUCGUCCCUUCAUUAAAAUCUCUCCAUUUGAACUAUCUGAGUUUAAUUCCAUUUCCUCCUGGUAUCUCAGUGAUACACGGUAUCAGUACAAAAAUCUCGCUUCACCUUCAGAACCAACAGAUUUGAGACAUUUUAUCCUCUGUGGAACCAUUAGUUAUUUUGUCAUUGGUUGUAUCAGAAAAAAAAAUCAGGAAUGCAAAUCCUUCUUUAUUACAGAUUCAGAUUUGCAUAUUACCAAUGUUAUAUAUUUUAAACAAAACUAUUCAUCAUAAGUUUUAAAAAUUAACUACUGGAGUAGUUAAUGAAUCUGAAUGUAAUUAUGUAGCUUUCAUAAUAUUAAAGUAAAAAUACUAAAAGAAGUAUUUCUUAAAGAAGCAAAUGCUCAAUCUCCAAGUAAAUUUUAUUCUAUGCUCUUCCGGUAUAAGAAUAUGUUAAUAUCUUGAAAAAUAUCAUAUUAUUUUGUGAACUCAUAAAGCUAUUUUGAGUUUUUGUAAAAUGAAAACCUUACCAAAAUGUAUUUUAUUGUUGGAAAGCUUGACCGUUACUGCUGUUUAAUUUUUUGAGCUUGUAAACUUUAUUUGUGCAUGUUUUCAACAAAGAAGGAUUUUAUUGUUAUUACAUAAAACAGGUGAUUUCUAGAUUUUAAAAUCACAAAUUGAAAGCAAGGCACAAUAAUAUAUAUUUCAAGAUAUAGGUACUUAGGAGGCAUCCUUUUAGUCAUCUGUUCAAUGUAGCCAUCUAUUUUACACCUACUGUCUACUAUUGUUUGAGGUCCUUGCCAAAGUAUUGCAGGCUAGUUAGGAAACAUAAAACAAUUAGAAAGUAAUCUAUGACAAGUAAGCUAUCUAUAAAUGGCAAUGAAGGGUAGAACAAAUUCAAUGAAAAUAUCUAUUUAAUCCUAGUGUUUACUGGUCUAGAAGAAUAGGCUGAGUAAAUUAGUAUUUCUCUGGCUGUUGUGGUAACACAUUGCAUGCUAUAACAGUUUUAAGUAAUUACAGGUGCAUUGAAAUUUAUCUAUGGCUUUGUCAUCAUAUUCUAAAAUGUCAUGAGUACUUUUUUCUGACCUCAAUUACUAUGAAAUUGGUUUCCAAUAUUUAAUUAACCAAGAAUAUCAAGUCUAUAGGGUAUUAUUAAGGUGAGACUUCUGUAGCCUUUUCAAUAAAGACCAGAAUUUUGGAGUGCCUUGAACCUUAAUCAUUGAUCUUUAAUUCUUAUUAAGUCAACUGCCCACCUUUUAAAGACUGAGGCCCAGGAAGAGUAAGUUUCUCUGAGACAAUGCAUACAGUACAGUGCUUCUUGGGUAUUGGCUCUAAGACCAGAUGCAAAGAAAGGCUAAAAUCCCAUUUCAUUGUUCAUUAGGUGAGAACCCUUUGUUAAGCUGUGUAACCUCUGUGCAUAGUUUCCUCAUCAGCAAAGUCAGAAAAAGUAUGUACCUGAAGGACUGAUUGUAAGGCUGGGAUGAGAGAAUCCAUGUGAUCAGCCCUCACCAACAGGUGCUGCCCAGUUCAUGAGUGCUGCUGCUGUCCUGCCCAAGUACCCAGCUUGCAGAGUGCCAGAGUUAGAGUCCCAGGGGUGUUCUCCACAGCUGCAUGCUUGAUCCAGGCCUAUCAGAUAUAUUCCAUUGAAAGUCCUCAUUCUCAAAUUUAAAACAAAGACUUUUUGUGUACCUCAAUAGCAAUGCACACACAGUUGGCUUCACAAACAUAUUGUACAUUUCUUUUUUUCAUAUUUAUUCAACAAAUGUAUAUUGACUACCCACCGUGUGACAGGUGUUAUUUGUUGACGGAACCAGGCAUCAUCAGCAAACAAAACUGACAAAGCUUCCUGCCCUCUGUGGAAGGCAUCUGAGGAAGAGACUGGAUUUUGUAGCAACAUGUUAUUCUCAUUAUAAACUUUAUCAUUGGAAUACUAAAGCCAAAUCAUCCCCCAUCUCCUUGAUCAGGAUACCCACUUAAUCUAGGCAGCUACACAAUUGUGAGAGCCUUUGUUUUUUUCUGCUGAAACAUCCUUAAAAAGAUACCUCACAACCCAAGAUUUGGCUUUUCUUAAAUACGAUUUUUAAUUUUUUUCAUUUCUAUCUAGAGAUUUAAUUGGAAAUGGAAAAUCAUCAAUUUUCCAAUUAAAUGUCUGUUCCAAUCAACAUUAUACCUUUUAGGUUGUCAUUGUCAUUUUUAAGUUUAAGCAACUUUAAGGAUUUUGAAUCUGGCUGCCUGUAAAUUAAAGGUGAAAGUAAUCAUUGUGUUGGAUUGGAACAUUUUGUCAAUUGAGAGUGGUUUCCUUGUUCUUAGUGUAUGAAAAGUUUAUUUUUCUAAUGUAGAUUAAUAAAGGAGAUAAAGAAAAACAAAAUGA
rnacentral:lncRNA from 1 species